AGUAUUCAAGCCAAGAGUACACACUAAAAUUAAAAUUCAACCUACUCUAAGAAUUUAAAAAGAAAUAAAAUAAAAUAAAAAAUAAAUAAAAGUAAAAGAAAGAAAAACUAAAUCCUGUCUAUGGACAUCCCUCAGUAGAUGUCUGUAAUCAGCCCAUGCUGUCAUCGGCGUCCUCCUGACUCUCAUCAUCCACAUCCUCAAAGUUCUCUUCCUCA
rnacentral:lncRNA from 1 species